rnacentral:rRNA from 1 species
CUUUCAGCUUGUUGGUGAGGUAAUGGCUCACCAAGGCGACGACGGGUAGCCGGCCUGAGAGGGUGACCGGCCACACUGGGACUGAGACACGGCCCAGACUCCUACGGGAGGCAGCAGUGGGGAAUAUUGCACAAUGGGCGAAAGCCUGAUGCAGCGACGCCGCGUGAGGGAUGACGGCCUUCGGGUUGUAAACCUCUUUCAGUAGGGAAGAAGCGAAAGUGACGGUACCUGCAGAAGAAGCGCCGGCUAACUACGUGCCAGCAGCCGCGGUAAUACGUAGGGCGCAAGCGUUAUCCGGAUUUAUUGGGCGUAAAGAGCUCGUAGGCGGUUUGUCGCGUCUGCCGUGAAAGUCCGAGGCUCAACCUCGGAUCUGCGGUGGGUACGGGCAGACUAGAGUGAUGUAGGGGAGACUGGAAUUCCUGGUGUAGCGGUGAAAUGCGCAGAUAUCAGGAGGAACACCGAUGGCGAAGGCAGGUCUCUGGGCAUCUACUGACGCUGAGGAGCGAAAGCAUGGGGAGCGAACAGGAUUAGAUACCCUGGUAGUCCAUGCCGUAAACGUUGGGCACUAGGUGUGGGGAACAUUCC